UACAAUUUUAAUUUUAAUGUC
rnacentral:piRNA from 1 species